rnacentral:rRNA from 1 species
UACAGAGGGGGCAAGCGUUGUUCGGAAUUACUGGGCGUAAAGGGCGCGUAGGCGGCCUUCUAAGUCGAACGUGAAAUCCCCGGGCUCAACCCGGGAACUGCGUCCGAUACUGGAAGGCUUGAAUCCGGGAGAGGGAUGCGGAAUUCCGAGGUGUAGCGGUGAAAUGCGUAGAUAUCUGGAGGAACACCGGUGGACGAAGG